rnacentral:rRNA from 1 species
GACGAACGCUGGCGGCGUGCUUAACACAUGCAAGUCGAACGGAAAGGCCCUGCUUUUGUGGGGUGCUCGAGUGGCGAACGGGUAAGUAACACGUGAGUAACCUGCCCUUGACUUUGGGAUAACUUCAGGAAACUGGGGCUAAUACCGGAUAGGAGCUCCUGCUGCAUGGUGGGGGUUGGAAAGUUUCGGCGGUUGGGGAUGGACUCGCGGCUUAUCAGCUUGUUGGUGGGGUAGUGGCUCACCAAGGCUUUGACGGGUAGCCGGCCUGAGAGGGUGACCGGCCACAUUGGGACUGAGAUACGGCCCAGACUCCUACGGGAGGCAGCAGUGGGGAAUAUUGCACAAUGGGCGGAAGCCUGAUGCAGCAACGCCGCGUGCGGGAUGACGGCCUUCGGGUUGUAAACCGCUUUCGCCUGUGACGAAGCGUGAGUGACGGUAAUGGGUAAAGAAGCACCGGCUAACUACGUG